AGUGGAUGGGGAGCAACCUAGUUGUGCGUGUGUAAAGGUAGUGCCAAGAAAAGCGAUGAUCAUGUUGAAAAUCAAUUCCCGGUACCCGAAACCGACACAGGUGGGCAAGUAGAGAAUACUAAGGGGCGCGAGGUAACUCUCUCCAAGGAACUCGGCAAAAUGACCCCGUAACUUAGGGAGAAGGGGUGCCACCGAGAGGUGGUCGCAGUGAAGAGGCCCAGGCGACUGUUUAGCAAAGACAUAGGUCUCUGCAAACUCGAAAGAGGAGGUAUAGGGGCUGACGCCUGCCCAGUGCCGGAAGGUUAAAGAAGUUGGUCAGUUUUAGGAUGAAGCUAGCGACUGAAGCCCCGGUGAACGGCGGCCGUAACUAUAACGGUCCUAAGGUAGCGAAAUUCCUUGUCGGGUAAGUUCCGACCCGCACGAAAGGCGUAACGAUCUGGGCGCUGUCUCGGAGAGAGGCUCGGCGAAAUAGGAUUGUCUGUGAAGAUACGGACUACCUGCAUUUGGACAGAAAGACCCUAUGAAGCUUUACUAUAGCUUGGAAUUGUGUUCGGGCUUCCUGUGCGCAGGAUAGGUGGGAGGCGUAGAAGGUAUUCUUGUGGGGAUACUGGAGCCAACGGUGAGAUACCACUCUCAGGAGGCUAGAAUUCUAACUUAAUUAAGGACAGUUUCAGGUGGGUAGUUUGACUGGGGCGGUCGCCUCCAAAAAGGUAACGGAGGCGUACAAAGGUUCCCUCAGACUGGUUGGAAAUCAGUCGAAGAGUGCAAAGGCAGAAGGGAGCUUGACUGCGAGAAGUACAGUUCGAGCAGGGUGGAAACACGGUCUUAGUGAUCCGACGGUGCUGUGUGGAAGGGCCGUCGCUCAACGGAUAAAAGUUACUCUAGGAUAACAGGCUGAUCUCCCCCAAGAGUUCACAUCGACGGGGAGGUUUGGCACCUCGAUGUCGGCUCAUCGCAACCUGGGGCGGAAGUACGUCCCAAGGGUUGGGCUGUUCGCCCAUUAAAGCGGUACGUGAGCUGGGUUCAGAACGUCGUGAGACAGUUCGGUCCAUAUCCGAUGUAGGCGUGAGAAUAUUGAGAGGAGCCUUCCUUAGUACGAGAGGACCGGGAAGGACGCACCGCUGGUGUACCUGUUAUGAUGCCAAUUGUAAACGCAGGGUAGCCAAGUGCGGAGAGGAUAACCGCUGAAAGCAUCUAAGUGGGAAGCCCACCUCAAGAUGAGUAUUCUGGUGUAAGGUCACGGGAAGACGACCCGUAAAUAGGCACGAGGUGGAAGUGCAGAGAUGUAUGAAGCCGAAGUGUACUAAUAGACCGUCGGCUUGACC
rnacentral:rRNA from 1 species